CCUCCCGCCUGCUGCCCCGGUGCGCUCAGCCUGGCUCUUGCAAUCCUGCGCCUCCCGCCAAGCUGCGAGCUGUCAGCACGCAGUUUCGCUGAACAGGAAACGGAGUCCCAGGGAUUGUGUUAGUCUCUCCGAGGCCGCCCAGGGAAAGGUGGGUGGGUUGGGGCUUGGCGGGCUCUCCCCAAAGUGCGCUGGAGAAUCCAGCCUCGAGGCCUUUGCACUGGAUGUGCCCUCCGCCUGAGCUGCCCUUCCCCCCACCUCCUGUGGCAAUCACCUCCUUCAUGAGGGCCUUCCUGAUGUCCCCCACAUCUGCAGGGGGGCCGGGCUGUUUCCUCUGAGCACCUGAUCACAAGGGCUGGGAGACCCAUGGAGGGCUUCCAGGAAGAGGAGGCCCUCAAGCUGAGUCUGGCCGGAGCCUGGGGGCAGAGGACCCCCUUGAUGCCCCAUUUCCUCAACCUACCUACCACGGAGCACCGAGGGUGACAGUGAGGAGCUGGGGGAGGGGCGGGCAGAGGACACCCGCUGCGUGCCUGUGGGCGGGGAAGGCGGCACGCUGGAAAGGGUGCGGUGGUGGGAGCCCUGGAGUAACCCCGACCUCGCCAGUCCGCGCCAAGAGCUGACGUCCAGCUGAAAGGGUCGCGGUGCCCCCCUUGCCCGAAUGGGAAAGUUGAGGUCGGAGAGGGUGAGGGCAGGGCCAUGCAGAAUGGGGACCUCUGGACCCGGGUCUGGCCCCAAAGCCGUCGCUCACA